CAGUCCAUGGGGUUGCAAAGAGUCGGACACGACUGAGCGACUUCACACCACACACAUGUAAUAACAGUCAAGGUGAGUUAUUUUAAAAGUUCAUGUGAUAGUUAUUAAUUACAUUCAGCUUAAACAAACUAAUAAUAAUACCAUAUACCUACAAAGGUACCCCACAGAAAAUUUUGCUCAAGCUUAGAUGAAGUGUUGGUUUCAAAAGUGGGAAAACUUAUCAGAAGAAAAGGGUUAUUUUGAAAGGAAAAUUUUACCUAGAAAGAGAAUUUCUUUGAGCUAUUUCAGAAAAUAGUGACUUCUUGUUUUGAAAGCAAUAGAAGAUUAGGGUAGUAAGAAAUUUUGGAUGUUCAGCAGAAUCAACAGAGGAAAAGAUGGUUGGAUAGCAUCAUUGACUCAUUGAUGUUUGAGCAAACUCCAGGAGACAGUGAAGGACAGGGAAGCCUAGUGUGCUACAGUCCAUGCAGUUGCAAAGAGUUGGACAUGACUUAGUGACUGAACAACAGAAAGCAGACUAAGGGCAUAAAAUCAUCAUUAAAAAUAGUUAUUGACUUCCACUAUGUGCCAAGCAUAGAGCUAGGCAUAAGAUGCUGAGAAAAACUUUAAAAACCACAAAAUGCAAAUCUUCCCUUUAUGCAGUGUGUCUCUUCUUAUGAAAUCAGAGAAUAUCAAUGACAACUUCAUUCACUGUGUAAAGGACUUGAAUAGAAGGUACAUGUUUAAGCCAAAGAGUGAGCCCAAGCAGAGAUACGAAAAGUCAAACUUUAAAAGCCUCUUAGGAUUUGUCUCACUUUUCAAAUAAAUUAAGAAUACUCUGUCUGCUACUGAUAAAACAAGUUAAGUUUAUGCUCCAUUUAAAGGUCAGUAAAAGUAUCUUGGGUAAGUUCUCAGGUUUUAUUAUUAGCUUCAUUAUAAGUGAUCUGCUGAGACUUGGAAGAUCUUAGAAAAGAGAAACAGAAAAAAAACAAACAAACAAAUUUGCGAUGUCCAUUCUUCCUCUUCUCAUAAUUACAGACUCAAAGGAGCUGAAGAGUUGCCCACACUGGAUAAANNNNNNNUCUAAGUCUUUCAGCAGAGAGGCAAAAUAUUUUUGUUGUCUGAAUUAUUAUAUAUAGAUAGACAGAUAUAGAUAUAUAACUAUUUAUCUAUAUAGUGAGAUUGCAAUAUAUACAGUGCAAAAUAUAAUAAUGAGAAAUAAAAAUAGUUAAAUAAAAACCACAAGAUGGCAAGUAUUGAAUGAGCCAUCAAGCUAAGAAAAAAACAUGAAGGAAACGUAAAUGCAUAUAUAUUACUAAGUUUAAGAAGCCAAUCUGAAGAGUCUACAUACUAUAUGAUGCCAACUGUCUAACAUUCUGGAAAAUGCAAAACUCUGGAGACAGUAAAAGGAUCAGUGGUUGUGCACGGUUAGAAGGGAAAGAGGUGUACAUAGGGGGAGGACAGAGGAUUUUGUGGGGCAAUGAAAUUACCCUUUAAGAUACUAUAUUGGUGGAUACAUGUUAUUAUCUUUACAUUUGUCAAAACUCUUGGAAAAUACAACACCAAGAGUGANNCCUAUUGUAAACUAGGAACUGUAAGUUCAUCCGUUGUGACCAGUGCACCUCUCUAGUGGCUGAUGUUGACUAUGGAAGAAGCCAUCCGUCUUCUUCCAUCCGUCCCCUUCUAUGGGGGUAGGAAGCAUAUGAGAAUUCAUUGUACUUUCUAGUCAGUUUUGCUGUGAACCUAAAACUUCUUUAACACACACACACAUACACAAAGAUGAGCAGCAAGGAAGUUAUCUUUCAGUAAUUAUACAGAGUAAUGAAAAAUCAUUUUGAAUUUUAGAUAACUGAUCUAUUGAUAUCAUUUCAUAUUCAAUUAUAUUAGGAAAUUAAAAUAAGAGUUUAGGAGAAAAAAUAAUUUUUAAAAGUAGUCAAAUAUUUGCAGUGACUGGGAUGAAUAACCCACUGUAAUUUAAUUAAAAGAAGCAAAUGCAGAAAAUGAACUUUAGAAACUCUGACCAGUAUAUGUCACAGUGAUUUCAAUGAUCUGCAGUUCCUAAGUAUUAGGGAAAUCAGCUUACAGUCACCAUCGAACAUUUCUA
ensembl:lncRNA